rnacentral:rRNA from 2 species
CGCGCAGGUGGUUGAUUAAGUCUGAUGUGAAAGCCCACGGCUUAACCGUGGAGGGUCAUUGGAAACUGGUCGACUUGAGUGCAGAAGAGGGAAGUGGAAUUCCAUGUGUAGCGGUGAAAUGCGUAGAGAUAUGGAGGAACACCAGUGGCGAAGGCGGCUUCCUGGUCUGUAACUGACACUGAGGCGCGAAAGCGUGGGGAGCAAACA